rnacentral:rRNA from 1 species
AAGGCCUUUACUGACGCUGAAGCUCGAAAGUGCGGGUAUCGAACAGGAUUAGAUACCCUGGUAGUCCGCACGGUAAACGAUGGAUGCCCGCUUUUCGGUCAUUAGACCGUGAGGCCAAGUGAAAACAUUAAGCAUCCCACCUGGGGAGUACGCCGGCAACGGUGAAACUCAAAGGAAUUGACGGGGGCCCGCACAAGCGGAGGAACAUGUGGUUUAAUUCGAUGAUACGCGAGGAACCUUACCCGGGCUUGAAUUGCAGAUGAAGGAUCCAGAGAUGGUGACGCCCUUCGGGGCAUCUGUGAAGGUGCUGCAUGGUUGUCGUCAGCUCGUGCCGUGAGGUGUCGGCUCAAGUGCCAUAACGAGCGCAACCCCUCUCUUCAGUUGCCAUCAGGCUAUGCUGGGCACUCUGGAGACACUGCCACCGCAAGGUGUGAGGAAGGUGGGGAUGACGUCAAAUCAGCACGGCCCUUACGUCCGGGGCUACACACGUGUUACAAUGGGGGGUACAGAAAGCCGGCUGCCCGCAAGGUCAGUCCAAUCAAGAAAGCCCUCCUCAGUUCGGACUGGGGUCUGCAACCCGACCCCACGAAGCUGGAUUCGC